rnacentral:rRNA from 1 species
CAGUGUUUUAUUGCCGGCCGAUGAAAGCUCGUAGUUGGAGUUCUACCGAAGCAGGUUUACCAGCUUUAUGAGCAUGCGUGAGCGUCUCUAUCGGCCCAAGCUGCUGCGUGCUUCGGUGCUUCCUUGCGCCGGAAACCGGGGGCUCAGCUACUUUGAGGAAAUCAGAGCGAUUAUUGCGGGCCUGCGCCUUGUAUAGCUUAGCAUGGUAUGGCGAUUGAGGAACUUCAGCUUAGUGUUGGUUAAAGGUUGAUGUGUGAGUUUAAUAGGAGCAAUUGGGGGUGAUUGUAUUAGCGUGUCAGAGGUGGAAUUCUUGGAUUACGUUACGACAUUCGACUGCGAAAGCAUUCGCCAACGAUGUUUUCAUUGAUCAAGAACGAAAGUAUGGGGAUCGAAGAAGAUUAGAUACCGUCGUAGUCUAUACCAUAAACUAUGCCUUCUUGGAUUCAGGGAAAUACCUUUUCGGUGGCUUCUCUGGCGCCUUGCGAGAAAUCAGAGUCUUUGGGUUCCGGGGGGGAGUAUGGCUGCAAGACUGAAUCUUAAAUGAAUCACGGAAGGCCACCACCCGGGGUGGAGCCUCCGCAUUAAUUUGACUUAAACCCGGGAAACUCACCAGGCCAGACAUAAAGGUGAUUGACACAUCGAUGGACUUCCACAAUUCCAUGCAACCUGGUGCAUGGCGGUUUCUAGCUGGUGGAGGAAGUCUGUGAUUAAUUUUGUUUCCACUGAAACUCGGGCAACUAAUUGCCUUGUCUGAUUUCAAGAAGCGGCUAGCUUCCCACGCAACUCUAUGAAUCCACCA